AACCGAUGACAUCCCAACAGCAGAGAUGCCAGAAGAGUCAGUAACAGCGGUUGUUGAAAAGAAGGUUAUCGAUGUUGUUGAGGAAAAGGUUGUCGAAAAGGUAGAGAUUACCGAAGAGGUUACUACAGAGCCAGCCGAUGAAAUCACAACAGCAGAGAAGCCAGAAGAACCAGUAACAGAAGUUGUUGAAAAGAAGGUUAUCGAUGUUGUUGAGGAAAAGGUUGUCGAAAAGGUAGCGAUUACCAGAGAGGUUUCCCCAGAGCCAGCCAAUGAAAUCACAACAGCAGAGAAGCCAGAGCAGCCAGUAACAGAAGUUGUUGAAAAGAAGGUUAUCGAUGUUGUUGAAGAAAAGGUUGUCGAAAAGGUAGAGAUUACCAGAGAGGUUACCACAGAGCCAGCCGAUGAAAUCUUAACAGCAGAGAAGCCAGAACAGCCAGUAACAGCGGUUGUCGAAAAGAAGGUUAUCGAUGUUGUUGAGGAAAAGGUUGUCGAAAAGGUAGAGAUUACCGAAGAGGUUACCACAGAGCCAGCCGAUGAAAUCCCAACAGCAGAGAAGCCAGAAGAACCAGUAACAGAAGUUGUUGAAAAGAAGGUUAUCGAUGUUGAUGAGGAAAAGGUUGUCGAAAAGGUAGAGAUUACCAGAGAGGUUUCCCCAGAGCCAGCC